AGACCCUCAAUAACCUAGAAAGAUGUGAAUUGUUAUGCAUGUUGCACGGACUAAGGAGAAGAUAAACACUGAACUAGAUUUUUUAAGUCCGGCGUUAGGGAGGAGAGGAAAAAAUGGUCUGACAAACUCAAUUGAGGCAAUUCUGUUUAAAAAGCAAAACUCAUUAUUUUGGACCAGAUAAAUUAUUAGAUAACUUUUUGCAAAAUGAUAAAACAUUUGCAGCUUUAACAUUAAACAUUCGAUCUAUAAGGUUAUCAUACAGAGAUUGGCAAUUUGACGUUAAACAUAGAGAUUGGAAAGUAUGAAAUUGGACUCAAAUACCAAAUGAUAUGAUUUUUGCAAACGAGGGAGCAUUAAACGUUUUGGAAGGAUUGUGUUCUACAUACUUAGGUAUUGAUUGCUGAAUCAGAAAACUGCCGGGUCGUAUUUUUAAACAGCAUUUCGCCAUCAGGAAUGCCGCCACAAGGUAGGAGCUGUUGUUACUCUUCUUUCGCUCAUUCAACACUUAGAAAGGACUAUGGGAUGGCAUAAGAUUACAAGUCAUAAAGCUAUCGUAAUCGUAUUUGCGCAACUAACUUCCUACG